UUAUUUUUUAAAUAAAAUAAAAAUAAAGAAAUUUGAAAUCUAAAUGAUGAAUCAAAAAUUUCUAUGGAAUUCU
rnacentral:tRNA from 1 species